rnacentral:rRNA from 1 species
AGUGAACGCUGGCGGUAGGCCUAACACAUGCAAGUCGAACGGCAGCACAGUAAGAGCUUGCUCUUACGGGUGGCGAGUGGCGGACGGGUGAGGAAUACAUCGGAAUCUACUUUUUCGUGGGGAUAACGUAGGGAAACUUACGCUAAUACCGCAUACGACCUACGGGUGAAAGCAGGGGAUCUUCGGACCUUGCGCGAUUGAAUGAGCCGAUGUCGGAUUAGCUAGUUGGCGGGGUAAAGGCCCAUCAAGGCGACGAUCCGUAGCUGGUCUGAGAGGAUGAUCAGCCACACUGGAACUGAGACACGGUCCAGACUCCUACGGGAGGCAGCAGUGGGGAAUAUUGGACAAAGGGCGCAAGCCUGAUCCAGCCAUACCGCGUGGGUGAAGAAGGCCUUCGGGUUGUAAAGCCCUUUUGUUGGGAAAGAAAAGCAGCAGGUUAAUACCCCGCUGUUCUGACGGUACCCAAAGAAUAAGCACCGGCUAACUUCGUG